rnacentral:rRNA from 1 species
CAAGCAAAAUGAAUUUUAGUCUGACCCCCCGAAACUAAGUGAGCUACUUCGAAACAGUUUUAAGAACGCACCCAUCUCUGUUGCAAUAGAGUGGGAUGAUUUCCAAGUAGCAGUGAUAAGCUUACCGCACCUAGUGAUAGCUGGUUGCUCAAGAAAAGAAUAUAAGUUCUACCUUAAGGUUUUUAAUUACAAAAAAAUAUACAAAACUUAAGAGCUACUCAAAUAAGGCACAGCUUAUUUGAACCAGGAUACAACCUAUAAUAUUGGGUAAAAAAUCAAAAAUAGGGAACAAGUGGGCCUAAGAGCAGCCACCUUCUAAAAAGCGUUAAAGCUUUACCACUAUACUAUUUUAAUACCUCUACACACCUUCAACCCAUUACCAAUAUUGAGCAAUUCCAUACGCCUAUGGAAGAUAUAAUGCUAGAACGAGUAACAAGAAACAGACUUUCUCCAAAAUGUAAGCCUAAGCCAUAAUAGACUAUCUACCGGCAAUUAAACGCAAAUGAAACUACUAUAGCAACUUCAACAAGAAAACCCUAUAACCCCUCAACGUCAAUCUUACACUAGAACAUUUAUGGAAAGAUAAAAGAAAGAGAAGAACUCGGCAAACUUUAACCC